rnacentral:lncRNA from 1 species
GCAAGUGGUGAGGACUCUGAAAAAGAAGAAGUAAAGCGUUCCUGCCGUGGCAGGAGUUAACAGAGUUCCUGCGGACACGCGAGUACUCAGGAAACCGGUCGGGUCAAGCGGGGGCGAGAACCGCGAACCCGCGCCGGUUCCCGCCAAAUCAGGUGCGCGCGGAGGGAGGAGGGGCACCUGUGGCGCGCGCCGCCGCUAAAUCACCGACCGGUACAAUUAGAUAACUCGAUUCCUUGACAAUGACCGCUAAAUCCUUCCUUCCUUGGACCCCCUCCCCUGGUGUUGGUGUUCCGUCUUACCCCUCCCAGAGUGGCGUCUCCGGUAUAAAGAGCCAUUGCAUCACCGCUUUACACAUUAUUUUCCACUUUUCACUUUUAAUAAUGCAGUCAGCCUGCUGAUAAGCGACUCGCGACACCGACCCGCCGUUUUUUCAACUCAGUUUCGUUCGGACUCGCGAUCUUCGCGCUUUGCAGGUUAUGUUCACGCGUCUUGUGUUCGCUUGAAGUCUCGUGUUCGUACCCAGUGCUGUGAGCUCUGUGCGUGUGUGUCUGUGUUAAUCGUCUUUGGUGCAAGUGUAAAUUUUUUUAUAUAAGCUACCACGCUUAAACAACACAGCAACAUGAAUCCCGCAAGAGUUUUAUUUGUCACCCUUAGCUGCUUCCUAUACAUCUGUCUAGUCACAGCCCAAGGGUUCUUCGACACAUUCGGAGGACCAUCAUUCAGAGGAGAAGAAUUGAGCAGGACUCAGUCCAGAGAUCCACGAGAAAACCGAGGUACGUCUCUUAUCAGCAAUUUCUUAUCACCGCGUUAUUUCAGACAAAGAUGAAAAAUAAGAAAAAGCAGAAGAAAAAAAUAAGAAAAAAGUCCCUUCGGAAAUGUAGGACAUACAAGGAAUUUUCAUCUCACAUGGAAAACUUGUAUUUUAUUUUCAAUUUCGGUCAAUAAUUGACUUCAACAAACUCCAUCAGAUGAAAUACUUUUGGUGUAUUCUUUAGGAGAAUGCAUUAAUUCAUCAUAAUUAGAAAUAUUAUUAUACUUAAAUAAAUCCAUGAGGAAAGAGUAAAAUGUGAAUUUAGUGCAUAAAUAUUAUAUGUAUAUAUUUGAUGAUAAUUUUACAUUUAAUAGUAUAUUCAUGGUUU